rnacentral:rRNA from 1 species
GACGAACGCUGGCGGCGUGCUUAACACAUGCAAGUCGAACGGUAAGGCCCUUCGGGGUACACGAGUGGCGAACGGGUGAGUAACACGUGGGUGAUCUGCCCUGCACUUCGGGAUAAGCCUGGGAAACUGGGUCUAAUACCGGAUAGGACCACUGCCUGCAUGGGUGGUGGUGGAAAGCUUUUGCGGUGUGGGAUGGGCCCGCGGCCUAUCAGCUUGUUGGUGGGGUGAUGGCCUACCAAGGCGACGACGGGUAGCCGGCCUGAGAGGGUGACCGGCCACACUGGGACUGAGAUACGGCCCAGACUCCUACGGGAGGCAGCAGUGGGGAAUAUUGCACAAUGGGCGCAAGCCUGAUGCAGCGACGCCGCGUGAGGGAUGACGGCCUUCGGGUUGUAAACCUCUUUCAGCACUGACGAAGCGCAAGUGACGGUAGGUGCAGAAGAAGGACCGGCCAACUACGUGCCAGCCGCCGCGGUAC